CUUGACGAAAGUUGUUGCGUUCUUGAGCGUAUUUAUUUUACUAAUAUCUACUCUUAAAGAGAGUCUUGUCUUGAGUGCUAAGUGUUUGUAUACAUUUGAAGGGAAGUGUUAAUCCCUUGUGGUUGUAAGAAGGAACGUUUUCAUUCCUUUGGUUUAAGUCUUGAAGUGUGGUAUCUUCGAGCAAAGGUUGUUGAGGCUUGUGUGACUCAAGUUCUCAGUUUGUAACGGUUUGUUAAGCACCCGUAAGCUUAA
rnacentral:lncRNA from 1 species